rnacentral:rRNA from 1 species
CCUACGGGGUGCAGCAGUAGGGAAUUUUCCACAAUGGGCGAAAGCCUGAUGGAGCAACGCCGCGUGGGUGAAGAAGGUCUUCGGAUCGUAAAACCCUGUUGUUAGAGAAGAAAGUGCGUGAGAGUAACUGUUCACGUUUCGACGGUAUCUAACCAGAAAGCCACGGCUAACUACGUGCCAGCAGCCGCGGUAAUACGUAGGUGGCAAGCGUUAUCCGGAUUUAUUGGGCGUAAAGGGAACGCAGGCGGUCUUUUAAGUUUGAUGGGAAAGCCUUCGGCUUAACCGGAGUAGUGCAUUGGAAACUGGGAGACUUGAGUGCAGAAGAGGAGAGUGGAACUCCAUGUGUAGCGGUGAAAUGCGUAGAUAUAUGGAAGAACACCAGUGGCGAAAGCGGCUCUCUGGUCUGUAACUGACGCUGAGGUUCGAAAGCGUGGGUAGCAAACAGGAUUAGAUACCCGUGUAGUC